rnacentral:lncRNA from 1 species
UCUUGUGUAAUAUCAAUUUCUUGUACUUCACUAAACGAUAGAGAAUAACACUUCAUUUAUCUGGUGUUGUAGACAAAACACCAACUGCUUUUGCUCACCAGUCUGGCAUUCUGCGGUUCAAUGCAACUUGUUAAAUGGGAGAAUUGUUGAGAUAAUAUUUGUUACAAAAUAUAAUAAAAAAUUUGCAGGAAUUGAAAUUAUAGAGACCUGUGAACAUCACAUUGGAAAGAGCCAGUUUAGGUCAUACCUAGAUUGCGAACUAUGGUAUCUUCAGGCUAUCAGAAGCUCUUGUUAGGCCAUGUCUUUUAGAAGUGAUACCGAUUCUACCUGUCCUCGGAUGUUCCAUUUUACGACUAUUCAUUAUCUUUGUCUUGCUUGUAGUGUUUUUCUCAUAACUGUUUUU